UCGCUGCUUGCGCAGGCAGUCUCACUAGAGUCCCCGGCAUGAUCCGCUGGCAACUAAAAGCAGGGGUUGCGCUCGUUGCGGCACUUAAGCCAACACCUCACGGCACGAGCUGACGACAGCCAUGCAGCACCUGUGCUAGCCCCUUGCGGACACGGGCUUUCACCCGCUUUAACUAGCAUGUCAAGCCUAGGUAAGGUUCUUCGCGUUGCAUCGAAUUAAACCACGUACUCCACCGCCUGUGCGGGCCCCCGUCAAUUCCUUUGAGUUUCAGUCUUGCGACCGUACUCCCCAGGCGGCGAACUUAACGCGUUAGCUUCGAUACUGCGUGCCAAAUUGCACCCAACAUCCAGUUCGCAUCGUUUAGGGCGUGGACUAC
rnacentral:misc_RNA from 1 species